UGCGUUGCAUAUAUCGGAAGAUUGCAACUGUAUGAGUCCUUACGAGGCAGAGGUCCUGGGUUCAAAUCCCAGCGGGCCCA
rnacentral:tRNA from 1 species